rnacentral:rRNA from 1 species
GACGUAGGGGGCAAGCGUUGUUCGGAUUCACUGGGCGUAAAGGGUGCGUAGGUGGUCAGGUAAGUCGGAUGUGAAAUCUCCGAGCUCAACUCGGAAACUGCUUUGGAAACUACCUGGCUCGAGGGUUGGAGGGGGGACUGGAAUGCUUGGUGUAGCAGUGAAAUGCGUAGAUAUCAAGCGGAACACCAGUGGCGAAGGCGAGUCCCUGGACAACUCCUGACACUGAUGCACGAAAGCUAGGGGAGCAUACAGG